AACGCACGAGACCUGCGGACCUGCGGAAGGAUCAUUACCGAGUUAUCCAACUCCCAACCCCUGUGAAUUAUACCUUUAAUUGUUGCUUCGGCGGGACAUCGCGCCCGCCGGGGACCCAAACCUUCUGAAUUUUUUAAUAAGUAUCUUCUGAGUGGUUAAAAAAAUGAAUCAAAACUUUCAGCAACGGAUCUCU
rnacentral:misc_RNA from 1 species